rnacentral:rRNA from 1 species
CACCGCCGCGGUAAUACCGGCGGCCCGAGUGGCGGUCACUAUUAUUGGGCUUAAAGCGUCCGUAGCCGGGUUGGGGAGUCCUCCGGGAAAUCUGGCCGCUUAACGGUCAGAAUGCCGGAGGAUACUCCCAGCCUAGGGAGCGGGAGAGGCCGAGGGUAUUCCCGGAGUAGGGGUGAAAUCCUAUAAUCCCGGGAGGACCACCUGUGGCGAAGGCGCUCGGCUGGAACGCGUCCGACGGUGAGGGACGAAGGCCAGGGGAGCAAACCGGAUUAGAUACCCGGGUAGUCCUGGCUGUAAACGAUGCGGACUUUGUGUCGGACAAGCUAUGAGCUUGUCCGGUGCCGGAGGGAAACCGUUAAGUCCGCCGCCUGGGGAGUACGGCCGCAAGGCUGAAACUUAAAGGAAUUGGCGGG